GGGGCUGGGGCUCAGUGGCAGAGCACUCACCUAGCAUGUGUGAGGCACUGGGUUCAAUCCUCAGCACCACCU
rnacentral:tRNA from 1 species